rnacentral:rRNA from 1 species
CCUACGGGAGGCAGCAGUGGGGAAUAUUGCACAAUGGGGGAAACCCUGAUGCAGCGACGCCGCGUGAGUGAAGAAGUAUUUCGGUACGUAAAGCUCUAUCAGCAGGGAAGUAAAUGACGGUACCUGACUGAGAAGCCCCGGCUAACUACGUUACAGCAGCCGCGGUAAUACGUAGGGGGCAAGCGUUAUCCGGAUUUACUGGGUGUAAAGGGAGCGUAGACGGAAUCGCAAGUCUGAAGUGAAAGCCCAUGGCUUAACCAUGGAACUGCGUUGGAAACUGUGAAGCUGGAGUGCAGGAGAGGUGAGCGGAAUUCGUGGUGUAGCGGUGAAAUGCGUAGAUAUUAGGAGGAACACCAGUGGCGAAGGCAGCUUACUGGACUGUAACUGACGUUGAGGCUCGAAAGCGUGGGGAGCAAACAGGAUUAGAUACCCGGGUAGUC